AGUGAACGCUGGCGGUAGGCCUAACACAUGCAAGUCGAACGGCAGCACAGUAAGAGCUUGCUCUUACGGGUGGCGAGUGGCGGACGAGUGAGGAAUACAUCGGAAUCUACUUUUUCGUGGGGGAUAACGUAGGGAAACUUACGCUAAUACCGCAUACGACCUACGGGUGAAAGCAGGGGAUCUUCGGACCUUGCGCGAUUGAAUGAGCCGAUGUCGGAUUAGCUAGUUGGCGGGGUAAAGGCCCACCAAGGCGACGAUCCGUAGCUGGUCUGAGAGGAUGAUCAGCCACACUGGAACUGAGACACGGUCCAGACUCCUACGGGAGGCAGCAGUGGGGAAUAUUGGACAAUGGGCGCAAGCCUGAUCCAGCCAUACCGCGUGGGUGAAGAAGGCCUUCGGGUUGUAAAGCCCUUUUGUUGGGAAAGAAAAGCAGCAGGUUAAUACCCCGCUGUUCCGACGGUACCCAAAGAAUAAGCACCGGCUAACUUCGU
rnacentral:rRNA from 1 species